AUUUUAUCAGCUUCCCAGUUUGUUUGAGACAUGUUGUUUAGUCCAACAAUUCAAACAAACUUUCCUUAAUAAUGUCAGAUCCUUGAAAAAUCAAAAAAAAAAAAUGGUCACUAAUUAAUUGAAAACAAUAAACAGAAUAAAGAGUAGAGUUAGACAAAGCAUAAGUGUGUUUGUAUAUGCCCUUUUUACAUUUGUGUUUUUUGCAUAUAAAAUUGGAAUCUUGGAGAAUGGAUGGACAGAAAGACUGAUGAAAAAAUAAAAAAAUAACUUUUUUUUUAUUUUCUACAGGGUUUUUUUUUUAGUGUUUUAUUCAACUCUGUUUUUCUCAGGGAACUGAAAUUCUCUUUCUUUUUCUGAUGAUGGGUUUUGGAGAAAAAGGG
rnacentral:lncRNA from 1 species